AUACGAAGGGAACUAGCGUUGUUCGGAAUUACUGGGCGUAAAGCGCACGUAGGCGGACUUGUUAGUCAGGGGUGAAAUCCCGGGGCCCAACCUCGGAACUGCCUUUGAUACUGCAAGUCUGGAGUCCGGAAGAGGUGGGUGGAAUUCCUAGUGUAGAGGUGAAAUUCGUAGAUAUUAGGAAGAACACCGGUGGCGAAGGCGGCCCACUGGUCCGGUACUGACGCUGAGGUGCGAAAGCGUGGGGAGCAAACAGGAUUAGAAACCCGAGUAGUCC
rnacentral:rRNA from 1 species